rnacentral:rRNA from 1 species
CAGCCGCCGCGGUAAUACCUGCAGCCCAAGUGGUGGUCGAUUUUAUUGAGUCUAAAACGUUCGUAGCCGGUUCGGUAAAUCUUUGGGUAAAUCGGGGGGCUUAACCUUCCGACUUCCGAGGAGACUGCCGAACUUGGGACCGGGAGAGGCAAGAGGUACUUCUGGGGUAGGGGUAAAAUCCUGUAAUCCUAGAAGGACCACCGGUGGCGAAGGCGUCUUGCUAGAACGGAUCCGACGGUGAGGGACGAAGCCCUGGGUCGCAAACGGGAUUAGAUACCCCGGUAGUCCAGGGUGUAAACGCUGCAGACUUGGUGUUGGAGGCCCUUUGGGGGCAUUCAGUGCCGGAGAGAAGUUGUUAAGUCUGCUACUUGGGGAGUACGUCCGCAAGGAUGAAACUUAAAGGAAUUGGCGGGGGAGCACCGCAACGGGAGGAGCGUGCGGUUUAAUUGGAUUCAACACCGGAAAACUCACCAGGGAAGACUGUUACAUGAAGGCCGGGCUAAAGACUCUGCCAGAUUUUCAGAGAGGUGGUGCAUGGCC